rnacentral:rRNA from 1 species
ACCUGAAACCGUGUACGUACAAGCAGUGGGAGCCUCUUAAUGGGGUGACUGCGUACCUUUUGUAUAAUGGGUCAGCGACUUAUAUUCUGUAGCAAGGUUAACCGAAUAGGGGAGCCGAAGGGAAACCGAGUCUUAACUGGGCGUUAAGUUGCAGGGUAUAGACCCGAAACCCGGUGAUCUAGCCAUGGGCAGGUUGAAGGUUGGGUAACACUAACUGGAGGACCGAACCGACUAAUGUUGAAAAAUUAGCGGAUGACUUGUGGCUGGGGGUGAAAGGCCAAUCAAACCGGGAGAUAGCUGGUUCUCCCCGAAAGCUAUUUAGGUAGCGCCUCGUGAAUUCAUCUCCGGGGGUAGAGCACUGUUUCGGCAAGGGGGUCAUCCCGACUUACCAACCCGAUGCAAACUGCGAAUACCGGAGAAUGUUAUCACGGGAGACACACGGCGGGUGCUAACGU